rnacentral:tRNA from 1 species
CCUUCGAUAGCUCAGUUGGUAGAGCGGUGGACUGUAGGGGUCGAUUGUAAUCCAUAGGUCGCUGGUUCAAAUCCGGCUCGAAGGA